rnacentral:misc_RNA from 1 species
GUGAAUCAUCGAAUCUUUGAACGCAAAUUGCACUCUCUGGUAUUCCGGAGAGUAUGCCUGUUUGAGGGUCAGUUUAAAUACAAAUCGGUGUGGUUGCUGCUUCUCGUGGUGAUGCACUGGAUGUGGGUUGUUCUGUGUUUGGUUAUGUGAUCUAAAAUUUCGCAUGAUUUUUUCGAACGUACCUAAAUGAUUUUACGCACGUUUCUGAUAUCGAAUAUUAGGCGCGGUGAUUCUUUUGUUUUGC